AUCAGUCGUGCCUUUGCCCUUCCGGUGCAGGUGCAGGUGCGGCUAUGGAUUCGGUGACCUAGGCCGAGGAGCUCCCUUCGCAGCAGUCUUCUUGGAUUUGAGCAGCAUGGUCUCAGGAUGGCUUGAUUAGAGAUCAUUGCGAAAUGAGAUCUUCUGUUACGGGCUCAGGUCUUUAAGUGAAUAACAUAAGUAGAAGUUCCAUCUCAGGUUCCAUCUUCUAUUGUAAUUACAAGUUCUUUGUAAAUCUUUUGUUGGAAAGAACUUCUGCUGUUACAAUUUUUUUAGGCCUCUGCUGUCACUGUUUUAUUUACUUGGAGAAGAAACAAGAAAAUGUUGCUAGGAGUAAGAUUGGUAUUCUCAUCUAGCUCAUGAAUGCACUGAAUCAUGAAUUCUUAGCUAAAGUAUUGGUUGUUAAAUAUAAACUAACCACCUAUUUAGAAUUCUGAGGCUUCCAAGCAUAGUUGGACAGCCAUGUUUUCUAGCAGCAUGCUUGCUUGUGGAAAAUACUUUGCUUCAAUAGUGGGUAGGGCGAGCUUGCAUGAACCAAACCAAAACUGUCAACACAUUGCCGGACCUCUCGCUUUUAUAGUUCUUACUUGUUAAAACAAUUGCGAUUCCUUAACGUGGUAGUGAACCAAACAUUGAUCUCAGUGAAGGGUUGCAUUUAUUGGUUACCCAUUUCUGUCCUUAAGCUAUCCUGAAUUUUCCCAAAAAAACUGCUACUUCCAUGCACAUUUCCCCCAAAAAAUUACUAUUUCCAUGCACAAUGGACUGCCAUUUACCUAUACAACCGGCUGAUUUGCUACCUAUGUGGUAUAUUGGAUCUGAAACAACUGGCUAUUCAGCAUGUCUAAUUCUUGUGCUUUUUUUUGUGCCUGUAGCAAUCUUCCUGCAUUUGACAAGCAAUAUUCUUGGGUUUGAGAAGCAACGUCUCAUGUCCAAGCAAGGAUGCAUGAGCAGUGAAGCUCAUGUUGCUGUUGUCUCUAACAGUUGCAGCCGACUUUUGUGUGCCCUUCAUCUCCAGCAAGAAGAGUCCAAUGCAUGGGACCUGAAGCCUACAUUGACCUCAAUCUGCAAACUGUGUAGCAUGGUGACUAGCUUUUGGUUUCAGUUGCAGCCGACUUUUGUGUGCCCUUCAUCUCCAGCAAGAAGAGUCCAAUGCAUGGGACCUGGAGCCUGCAUUGACCUCAAUCUGCAAACUGUGUAGCUUGGUGACUAGCUUUUGGUUUCAUGUAGUAUUCAAAGCUACCAGCUAGGUUGUUUGAUAGCUAUGCAUACUUUCUGUUACAUGUAGAUUUAUAGUACUCGGAUGUGUUGUAAUAUUGAUGCUCCAAAUGCCGGACAAACACCUAAUGAUAGGAUAGAGUGAUACUCGGAUGUAACCAUGGUGAUCGGAUGCACUUUAAUGUUGAUGAUUGAAUUGCCGGACAGACA